rnacentral:tRNA from 1 species
GCCCCAGUAGCUCAACGGAUAGAGCAGAGCACUCCUAAGGCUAAGGCUGGGGGUUCAAUUCCCUCCUGGGGCA